GAGAGAUAGCGUUUAAGUGGAAGUAAGAAAGAGGGAAAGUGUGAGAGAGAGAGAGAGAGAGAGAGGGAGAGAAAAGCCUGCUCGGGCGAGCAAUCAGCUUCUCUCUGUAGACUCCAGCUGAUCAGAGUUUACUGAGACACACACACACACACACACACACACACACACACACACACUCAACUCUUCAGCACAGUGAGUCAUCACUAACGUGGGCACUGGAGCUUCACACACACACACACACACACACACACCGCUGCAGCAGCACGAGGGUUUCGCACGGGACCCGGCCAGGGUAACAGCACACACACUCACACGCUCUCACACACACUCGGGUGUUGGGAUGGAGUGGAAGCAUGUGGAGGCGGUGCAGGAGUUCACAGCUGAAGGACAAUGCAGCAAAAUCCACGUCCGCUCCUGCAGAAUAACGUGGGACGCUCCCCAGGUGGGGACUCCGCGGGUGGAGAUGACUCUGUCGGAGCUUCAGGAGAUGGCCAUUCGGCAGCAGCAGCAGAUAGAAGCUCAACAGCAGAUGCUGGUCACAAAGGUAAACCCCGCCUUUAACUGUUCAUCUAUACCAUUAAACUAGACCUUCUAAAAUUGUUUUUAAGUGUGUUUUUGAGAAAUGGAUGCAUUUAUACUGCUAAAAAGUGGCUUAAGUGUGUCUCAGACCAUCUCCUGAAGUGAUUCAAGAGAUUGGAUUUGUAUCUGGUUUAAAUGCAUCUCAGACCACCACCAUUAGGGUUUUGAGUGUUUGCAUUUGUAUUUGGUUUAUUUGCGUCGUAAACCACCUCCUAGUGUUUUGAAUGAUUGAAUUUGUAUAUAUUUUUUAAGUGCGUCUCAGAGCAUCUCCUGAAGUGAUUUGAGUGACUAGAUGUGUAAGAGUUACUGCUGUAAAUGGUGUAAAGGCGUAAAUACUGAUACUCAGUGGUUUUGUACAGUAGUGCUGUGUUGUUUGUGCUGUGAAUGUGUUGCUAAGCGGUUGGUCGAUUUGCUUGUCAGCUGAACAGGACUGUUCAAUCAGAGUCUGCAGUUUUAGACACCUGGUCUGGAUGUAGAAGCUGCAUUUCAGCACAGUGUUUCAGUAGAAUUAUUUUAUUCUGUGUUGUUUUUCCACACUAAUAAAGUACAUUAAGUUUCCA
rnacentral:lncRNA from 1 species